UUUCUGAUUAACCAGGAUACUGCUGGCAGUGAGAGGUAUGAGGCCAUGAGUCGAAUCUACUAUCGGGGGGCUGGUGCUGCUAUUGUGUGCUUUGACCUCACUGACCGGGAAAGCUACCAGAAGGCAAAGUUCUGGGUGAAUGAGCUGCGCAAGCAUGAAGAGAAGUGCCAAAUUUUUCUUUGUGGCACAAAAAAUGAUUUAAUCAAGAAGAAGGAAAGUACAGGGCAAUAAAUCACCAUGAUGUGCUGGAUUAUGCUGAUGAAAUUGGGGCCAAAAUGUUUGAAACCUCUAGCAAGACAGGAGAAGGCAUUGAUUCAUGAUGUGGCACCACCUCCUCCCCAUUGGCUGUGCCGCGCUGUCACGUGCCCAUUGACGCACACACUAGGCCACACCUUUAGUCAGCCGCAUGGCUGCGACGUGACGUGUGCAAUGACGCACGCACUAGGCACACCUUUAGUCGACUAGAACCAUGGUG